UGAAUACGAGACGCUAAGGCGUCGAAGUAGUGUAUGUCAUGCUUCCAAGAAAAGCUUGCACUGUCAUAGAUAAAAAACGCCUGUACCAUAACCGACACAGGUGGGUAGGUAGAGUAUACUAAGGGGCGCGAGAUAACUCUCUCUAAGGAACUCGGCAAAAUAACUCCGUAACUUCGGGAGAAGGAGUGCCUUAUUCUUAAGGUUGCAAUAACAAGAUCCAAGCAACUGUUUAUCAAAAACACAGGUCUCCGCUAAGUCGUAAGACGAUGUAUGGGGGCUGACGCCUGCCCAGUGCCAGAAGGUUAAAGAAGUUGGUUAGCAUUUGCGAAGCUGAUAACUGAAGCCCUGGUGAACGGCGGCCGUAACAAUAACGGUCCUAAGGUAGCGAAAUUCCUUGUCGGGUAAGUUCCGACCCGCACGAAAGGCGUAAUGAUUUGGAUACUGUCUCGGAGAGGGGCUCGGUGAAAUAGACUUGUCUGUGAAGAUGCGGACUACCUGCACCAGGACAGAAAGACCCUAUGAAGCUUUACUGUAACUUGAAAUUGAAAUUGGACUUUAUUCGCGCAGCAUAGGUGGGAGGCGUAUUAUAAUCUCGUGGGAUUAUUGGAGCCAUCAGUGAGAUACCACUCUUGUAAUGUUAGAUUUCUAACUUUGAAUCAUUAUCUGGUCAAAGAACAGUUUCAGGCGGGCAGUUUGACUGGGGCGGUCGCCUCCUAAACGGUAACGGAGGCGUACAAAGGUUUCCUCUGAACGGUUAGAAAUCGUAUCUAGAGUGUAAAGGCAUAAGGAAGCUUGACUGUGAGACCUACAAGUCGAGCAGGGACGAAAGUCGGUCUUAGUGAUCUGACGGUACUGAGUGGAAAGGCCGUCACUCAACGGAUAAAGGUUACUCUAGGAUAACAGGCUGAUCUCCCCCAAGAGUUCACAUCGACGGGGAGGUUUGGCACCUUGAUGUCGGCUCAUCGCAUCCUGGGGCGGUAGUACGUCCCAAGGGUUGGGCUGUUCGCCCAUGAAAGCGGUACGCGAGCUGGGUUCAGAACGUCGUGAGACAGUUCGGUCCAUAUCCGGUGUAGGCGUUAGAAUAUUGAGAGGGGCCUUCUUUAGUACGAGAGGACCGAGAAGGACAUACCUCUGGUGUACCAGUUAUCGUGCCAACGGUAAACGCUGGGUAGCUAUGUAUGGAGUGGAUAACCGCUGAAAGCAUCUAAGUGGGAAGCCCACCUCAAGAUAAGUAUUCUCAUC
rnacentral:rRNA from 1 species